GACGAAGGGGGCUAGCGUUGUUCGGAAUUACUGGGCGUAAAGCGCGUGUAGGCGGUUUCCCAAGUCGGGUGUGAAAGCCUUGAGCUCAACUCAAGAACUGCCUUUGAUACUGAAGAUCUUGAGUUCGGGAGAGGUGAGUGGAACUGCGAGUGUAGAGGUGAAAUUCGUAGAUAUUCGCAAGAACACCAGUGGCGAAGGCGGCUCACUGGCCCGAUACUGACGCUGAGGCACGAAAGCGUGGGGAGCAAACAGG
rnacentral:rRNA from 1 species